rnacentral:rRNA from 1 species
UAGAGUUUGAUCCUGGCUCAGGAUGAACGCUAGCUACAGGCUUAACACAUGCAAGUCGAGGGGCAGCAUGAACUUAGCUUGCUAAGUUUGAUGGCGACCGGCGCACGGGUGAGUAACACGUAUCCAACCUUCCGUUUACUCAGGGAUAGCCUUUCGAAAGAAAGAUUAAUACCUGAUAGUAUGGUGAGAUUGCAUGAUAGCACCAUUAAAGAUUUAUUGGUAAACGAUGGGGAUGCGUUCCAUUAGGUAGUAGGCGGGGUAACGGCCCACCUAGCCGACGAUGGAUAGGGGUUCUGAGAGGAAGGUCCCCCACAUUGGAACUGAGACACGGUCCAAACUCCUACGGGAGGCAGCAGUGAGGAAUAUUGGUCAAUGGGCGAGAGCCUGAACCAGCCAAGUAGCGUGAAGGAUGAAGGUCCUACGGAUUGUAAACUUCUUUUAUACGGGAAUAAAGUAUCCUACGUGUAGGAUUUUGUAUGUACCGUAUGAAUAAGCAUCGGCUAACUCCGUGCCAGCAGCCGCGGUAAUACGGAGGAUGCGAGCGUUAUCCGGAUUUAUUGGGUUUAAAGGGAGCGCAGACGGGAGAUUAAGUCAGUUGUGAAAGUUUGCGGCUCAACCGUAAAAUUGCAGUUGAUACUGGUUUCCUUGAGUGCAGUUGAGGCAGGCGGAAUUCGUGGUGUAGCGGUGAAAUGCUUAGAUAUCACGAAGAACCCCGAUUGCGAAGGCAGCUUGCUAAACUGUAACUGACGUUCAUGCUCGAAAGUGUGGGUAUCAAACAGGAUUAGAUACCCUGGUAGUCCACACGGUAAACGAUGGAUACUCGCUGUUGGCGAUAUACUGUCAGCGGCCAAGCGAAAGCAUUAAGUAUCCCACCUGGGGAGUACGCCGGCAACGGUGAAACUCAAAUG